GUGAUCAUUCAUAUUUGCAAAUUACUCUUAAUCAUUCAACAGAUUUCAGAAAUGGAGAUUGGCUUAGCAGUUGGUUGUGCAUUUCUCUCUUCAGCUUUGAAUGUUCUCUUUGACAGGCUUGCUCCUAACGGUGAUCUGCUGAAGAUGUUUAAGAGGGACAAGUGUGAUGUUCGGCUCUUAAAGAAGCUGAAAAUGACUUGCGUAGUCUUCAGAUUGUGCUAAGUGAUGCAGAGAAUAAGCAGGCAUCAAAUCCAUCAGUGAGAGACUGGCUUAAUGAGCUUCGAGAUGCUGUGGACUCUGCUGAAAACUUAAUAGAAGAAGUUAAUUAUGAAGUGUUGAGGCUUAAGGUGGAAGGUCAGCAUCAAAAUCUUGGAGAAACAAGCAAUCAAAAGGUAAGUGACUGCAACCUGUGCUUGAGUGAUGAUUUUUUUCUUAACAUAAAGGAGAAACUGGAAGACACCAUUGAAACAUUGGAGGAGUUGGAAAAGCAAAUUGGCCGCCUUGAUCUAACAAAAUACCUUGAUUCGGGUAAACAAGAAACAAGGGAAUCUUCAACCUCUGUUGUUGAUGAAUCUGAUAUCUUAGGUAGGCAGAAAGAAAUAGAGGAAUUGAUUGACCGUUUGUUGUCUGAGGAUGGAAAUGGAAAAUAUCCGACUGUAGUUCCUGUUGUUGGAAUGGGGGGUGUGGGCAAGACAACACUUGCUAAAGCUGUUUACAAUGAUGAGAAAGUAAAAAACCAUUUUGGUUUCAAAGCUUGGAUCUGUGUGUCUGAACCAUAUGAUAUUCUCAGAAUAACAAAGGAGUUACUUCAAGAAUUUGGCUUAAUGGUUGAUAACAAUCUGAAUCAACUUCAAGUCAAAUUGAAGGAAGGCUUAAAGGGAAAAAAGUUUCUUAUUGUCCUAGAUGAUGUGUGGAAUGAAAACUAUAAAGAGUGGGAUGACUUGAGAAAUCUUUUUGUACAAGGAGAUGUAGGAAGUAAGAUCAUUGUGACGACACGUAAGGAGAGUGUUGCCUUGAUGAUGGGUUGUGGAGCAAUCAAUGUGGGGACUCUGUCUAGUGAAGUUUCUUGGGAUCUAUUCAAGCGACAUUCAUUUGAAAAUAGGGAUCCUGAGGAACAUCCAGAACUUGAAGAGAUUGGAAUACAAAUUGCACACAAGUGCAAAGGUUUGCCUUUAGCUCUAAAGGCACUUGCUGGUAUUUUACGCUCCAAAUCAGAGGUGGAUGAGUGGAGAGACAUUUUAAGAAGUGAAAUAUGGGAGCUGCAAAGUUGUUCGAAUGGAAUCUUACCAGCGUUGAUGUUGAGCUACAAUGAUCUUCGUCCACAUUUGAAGCAAUGUUUUGCUUUUUGUGCAAUAUAUCCAAAAGAUCAUCUAUUUAGCAAAGAACAAGUUAUUCACCUGUGGAUUGCUAAUGGUCUUGUACAGCAGUUGCAUUCAGCUAACCAAUACUUUCUCGAGUUGAGAUCGAGAUCAUUGUUUGAAAAGGUCCGAGAGUCUUCUGAAUGGAAUCCGGGGGAAUUCUUAAUGCAUGACCUUAUCAAUGAUUUGGCCCAAAUUGCAUCUUCAAAUCUGUGUAACAGGUUGGAAGAGAACCAAGGAUCUCAUAUGUUGGAACAAACUCGACACUUGUCAUAUUCAAUGGGUGAUGGUGAUUUUGGUAAACUGAAAAACCCUCAACAAUUCGGAGCAAUUGAGGACAUUGCUUCCCAUCAAUAUCCAGCUGCGUUGGUGCCAUCUUAGCAAGAGGGUGCUGCAUGACAUAUUGCCAAGACUAACAUCUUUGAGGGCACUAUCAUUGUCUCAUUAUAAGAAUGAGGAGUUUCCAAAUGACUUGUUUAUUAAAUUAAAGCACCUAAGGUUUUUGGACUUUUCUUGGACAAAUAUAAAAAAGUUGCCAGAUUCAAUUUGUGUACUGUACAACUUAGAGACACUUCUCUUGUCAUAUUGUAGUUAUCUUAAGGAGCUACCUCUGCAUAUGGAAAAAUUGAUCAACUUGCGUCACCUUGACAUUAGCGAAGCUUAUUUGACGACACCCCUACAUCUAAGCAAGUUGAAAAGUCUCGAUGUGCUAGUGGGAGCCAAGUUUCUUCUAAGUGGUCGUAGUGGUUCAAGAAUGGAAGAUUUGGGUAAACUGCAUAACUUGUAUGGAUCUCUAUCAAUUCUAGGGUUGCAACAUGUGGUAGAUAGAAGGGAAUCUCUGAAGGCAAACAUGAGGGAAAAGAAACAUGUUGAAAGGUUAUCUUUGGAGUGGAGCGGAAGUAAUGCUGACAAUUCACAAACAGAAAGAGACAUACUUGAUGAGCUACAACCAAAUACAAACAUAGAAGAACUCCGAAUCACUGGCUAUAGAGGAACAAAAUUUCCAAAUUGGCUAGGUGAUCCUUCAUUUCAUAAGCUAAUAGACUUGUCUCUUAGCAACGGCAACGACUGUGAUUCCUUGCCAGCGCUAGGACAGCUUCCUUGUUUAAAAUUCCUUACCAUUAUAGGGAUGCAUCAAGUAACAGAGGUGACUGAAGAGUUCUAUGGUAGUUCAUCCUCCACAAAGCCAUUUAAUUCUCUUGAGCAGCUUGAAUUCGCAGAGAUGCUGGCGUGGAAGCAGUGGGGUUACUGGGGAAGGGAGAGUUCCCUGUACUUGAGGAACUUUCGAUUGAUGGUUGCCCAAAGUUGAUUGGGAAGUUGCCUGAAAAUCUUUCUUCUCUGAGAAGAUUGAGGAUAUCAAAAUGCCCUGAACUCAGUUUGGAGACACCUAUCCAACUUUCAAAUUUAAAAGAGUUUGAAGUUACUAAUUCUCCUAAGGUUGGAGUUGUUUUUGAUGAUGCUCAAUUGUUUACGUCUCAACUUGAGGGAAUGAAACAGAUUGUUAAAUUAGAUAUUACUGAUUGUAAGUCUCUUACCUCCUUACCUAUUAGCAUUCUGCCGAGUACCUUGAAGAGAAUAAGAAUCUCUGGUUGUAGGGAACUGAAAUGGAGGCGCCGAUCAAUGCUAUUGUCUGAAGGAAUUGUCUCUAGUAGGAUGUGAUUCACCUGAGUUUCUCCCAAGAGCACUCUCUUUGAGUGUAAGAAGUUGCAACAACAUACUAGGCUUUUGAUUCCUACUGCCACUGAAACAGUCAGUAUUAGAGAUUGUGAUAAUCUUGAAAUACUUUCAGUGGCAUGUGGGACUCAGAUGACAUCAUUGCAUAUUUACAACUGCAAGAAGCUGAAGUCGCUACCAGAACAUAUGCAACAACUCCUUCCAUCUCUUAAGGAACUGAACUGGUUAAUUGUUCACAAAUAGAGUCCUUCCUGAAGGAGGAUUGCCCUUCAAUUUACAACAACUUGGAUCUCCUGUUGUAAGAAAUUGGUGAAUGGCCGAAAAGAGUGGUAUUUACAGAGACUCCCCUGUCUCAGAGAUUUAACUAUUCACCAUGAUGGUAGCGACGAAGUGGUUCUUGCUGAUGAAAAAAUGGAGUUGCCUUGCUCUAUCGAAGGCUAGCAUAUGAAUCUGAAAACAUUAAGCAGCCAACUUCUCAAAAGCCUCACCUCUCUUGAGUACCUAUUGCUAAUAAUUACCUCAAAUGCAGUCAUUGCUGGAAGAAGGGCUUCCUUCCUCUCUUUCUGAGCUAAAAUUAUUAGCAAUCAUGAUCUUCAUUCACUACCGACCGAAGGUCUUCAGCGUCUCACGUGGCUUCAACAUCUAGAGAUUCGGGAUGCCAUAGUCUCCAAUCUCUUCCCGAAUCAGGAUGCUCUCUUCCCUCUCUAAGUGACCAUCCAACAUUGCUCUAAUCUCCAAUCUCUUCCCGAAUCGGGGUUGCCCUCCUCCCUCUCUGAGCUGCGCAUUUGGAAUUGCUCUAAUGUCCAAUCUCUUCCCGAAUCGGGGAUGCCCCCUUCUAUCUCUAAUCUAUAUAUUUCCAAAUGCCCAUUGCUCAAACCACUCUUAGAAUUUAACAAGGGGGAUUACUGGCCAAAAAUUGCUCAUAUUCCCACCAUAUAUAUUGAUUUGGAAUCCCAGUAG